UCCACAAACAUUCAGUCAAUCUCGGGUGGAAACCUCUCAUGUUAACAGGAUCACCAUGGCAACUCAAGUUCUCACCAGGCUCUUUGUCGCUUCUUUUUGGAUUCAAGUUCACUGCCAGGAUGUAACCCAGUACCCUACAAUCAGCUGGAGUUCUAUGUCCAAAUCUGCAGAGAUGAACUGCAGCCACAACAAAGAUAUAACUCAUAACCAGAUGUACUGGUACAGGCAGCGUCCAGGGGAGACCAUGAGCCUCAUCGUCUACACAGUUGUGGGUGGGAAGCCAGACUACGGUGGCGGCAAUCAGACCAAAUACUCAGCCAUCAAAGACAAGAGUGAGAGCGGGUCUCUUACUGUGAAAGACCUGCAGCCUGGAGACAGCGGCGUGUACUUCUGUGCCGUCAGCAAACACAGUGAUGUGACAAGUACGAGCAGCUGAACA